rnacentral:rRNA from 1 species
AGAGUUUGAUCCUGGCUCAGAUUGAACGCUGGCGGAAUGCUUUACACAUGCAAGUCGAACGGUAGAGGGGGCAACCCCUCGAGAGUGGCGAACGGGUGAGUAAUAUAUCGGAACGUGCCCAGUCGUGGGGGAUAACGUAGCGAAAGUUACGCUAAUACCGCAUACGAUCUACGGAUGAAAGCGGGGGAUCGCAAGACCUCGCGCGAUUGGAGCGGCCGAUAUCAGAUUAGGUAGUUGGUGGGGUAAAGGCUCACCAAGCCAACGAUCUGUAGCUGGUCUGAGAGGACGACCAGCCACACUGGAACUGAGACACGGUCCAGACCCCUACGGGAGGCAGCAGUGGGGAAUUUUGGACAAUGGACGCAAGUCUGAUCCAGCCAUUCCGCGUGCAGGAUGAAGGCCCUCGGGUUGUAAACUGCUUUUGUACGGAACGAAAAGGUCUCUCUUAAUACGGGGGGCUCAUGACGGUACCGUAAGAAUAAGCACCGGCUAACUACGUGCCAGCAGCCGCGGUAAUACGUAGGGUGCAAGCGUUAAUCGGAAUUACUGGGCGUAAAGCGUGCGCAGGCGGUUAUAUAAGACAGAUGUGAAAUCCCCGGGCUCAACCUGGGAACUGCAUUUGUGACUGUAUAGCUAGAGUACGGUAGAGGGGGAUGGAAUUCCGCGUGUAGCAGUGAAAUGCGUAGAUAUGCGGAGGAACACCGAUGGCGAAGGCAAUCCCCUGGACCUGUACUGACGCUCAUGCACGAAAGCGUGGGGAGCAAACAGGAUUAGAUACCCUGGUAGUCCACGCCCUAAACGAUGUCA